GAUGAACGCUGGCGGCGUGCCUAAUACAUGCCAGUCGAGCGAACAGACGAGGAGCUUGCUCCUCUGACGUUAGCGGCGGACGGGUGAGUAACACGUGGAUAACCUACCUAUAAGACUGGGAGAACUUCGGGAAACCGGAGCUAAUACCGGAUAAUAUAUUGAACCGCAUGGUUCAAUAGUGAAAGACGGUUUUGCUGUCACUUAUAGAUGGAUCCGCGCCGCAUUAGCUAGUUGGUAAGGUAACGGCUUACCAAGGCGACGAUGCGUAGCCGACCUGAGAGGGUGAUCGGCCACACUGGAACUGAGACACGGUCCAGACUCCUACGGGAGGCAGCAGUAGGGAAUCUUCCGCAAUGGGCGAAAGCCUGACGGAGCCACGCCGCGUGAGUGAUGAAGGUCUUCGGAUCGUAAAACUCUGUUAUUAGGGAAGAAAAACUGUGUAAGUAACUAUGCACGUCUUGACGGUACCUAAUCAGAAAGCCACGGCUAACUACGUG
rnacentral:rRNA from 1 species